GCCCCGGCCGGGUUCGGGUGCGCAGGGUGCUGCGGUGCGGGGUCCAGCGGGCAGGCGCCGAGAGGGCAGGGAGAAGGGGUUGCGAAGGCAUUGAUUUGCAUCAUUUAAAAUGAAGAGCCAGCUGAGUUGGUGUACACCUAUACCCCAGCACUGGGGAGGCUGAGACAGGAGGAUCACUGUGAAUUCAAGAGCUCUGAAGUUCCAUAAGGAGCCUGAAAGUUAAAACUUGUUAUAAUUCUGCAAUAUUGUGUCAGUGAAUGUUUGUGUUGUUGGAUCACCGCUCCCGCGGUGUAGAUUCUUCGUUGGUUUAACACCCUAGGAUACCGGGGAUGUUAUGUAACAAGAUCGGUGGCUACUGUUUCUGUUUAAAUAAAUGAUAAUGUUAGCUGAAGAGGACCAGCCCGGUGCCUUGGCUGGCAGGGAGCUCUGAGGCCCCCUGCAGGCGGGCUGUGUGUUUGCAGGAGAAGGGAAGAGACCGGACCGCUGGGCCUCCAGCCGGAGGACAAUAGAAUCAGCCAGCCAGCAACAAUAACACGUUCCGUAAGCCGGAUCGGUCUCGUCCCACCCUGGCAGAGCCAAGCCCUGUGAGCUGAGGAGAAGCUAGAAGUGAAACAAUGAAGUAGGUGAAACAAGAAACUAGAAGCUCCUUCCCUUCCUGUCUGAACUAAGCACCUUUAGCUGCCCUUAGUACACAUUUACUCAGUGCCUGGGACGUGCAGAAUUUCCUGCUUGACUUGAACAAAUAUUCUGAGCACUUUCUGAGAGGAGGGAAGCUGAGAAUAGGCAGAUAUGAGAUCGGCAGAUGUUU